UACGUAGGGUGCGAGCGUUGUCCGGAAUUAUUGGGCGUAAAGAGCUCGUAGGCGGUGUGUCGCGUCGGUCGUGAAAACCUACAGCUUAACUGUGGGCUUGCGGUCGAUACGGGCAUCACUGGAGUUCGGCAGGGGAGACUGGAAUUCCUGGUGUAGCGGUGAAAUGCGCAGAUAUCAGGAGGAACACCGGUGGCGAAGGCGGGUCUCUGGGCCGAUACUGACGCUGAGGAGCGAAAGCGUGGGGAGCGAACAGG
rnacentral:rRNA from 1 species